GCUGGUGUGGCGGAAUUGGCAUACGCGCGCGCCUUAAGAGCGUGUGGAGUAAUCCGUGUGGGUUCGAGUCCCACCACCAGCACCA
rnacentral:tRNA from 1 species